AUAUGUCAUGAUAUAUGUGUUCCUGCUGUGAGAAAUUGGAGGUUUUCUAAAUUUCCCUUGGUUGCACUGAUAACUUCUAAAGUAAGGAAUCAAUCAUGAAGUUUAUGAAACUUGAUACUACUGAUAACUUCUCACGCUAUAAGGUAAAAGCACACCUGAUUAAAUAUGAAAGCAUUUUUAAGAUAUGCUGCAUCAUUAAUGAAUUAUGAAUAGAAGGUUGUUACUAAAUGACUCUUUUUUUCUUUUAAAAUUUUUUUUUUUUUUCCGCUGCCGAUUUCUUUUUAAGUUUCAGGUGAUCUCAUAAUUCAAGUGAAGGGAAGUAGAUAUUUGCUUCACAAGGUCACACAUUGCAGCUUCAAGCAUUCUUCAAAUCUUGCAUACUCCAUGGCUG